GAUGAAGAACGCAGCGAAACGCGAUAGGUAAUGUGAAUUGCAGAAUUCCGUGAAUCAUCGAAUCUUUGAACGCACAUUGCGCCUUCUGGUAUUCCGGUAGGCAUGUCUGUCUGAGCGUCAGCAAACCCCCUCAGCUGAAUACUUUUGUGUUCGCGCUGGUCUUGGGCCUGGAUGCUGGGUUAAACCCCGCGCCUGUCCUAAACUUGCUGCACGACCGCUGGCUUCGGCUGGGUCAAUGGAGUGGUGUUACAAUCUUCCAGAAGGCCUUCAAUCGUAGCUUGGUGGCGUUAAACCUGCCGUCCCGUCAGGGACCGAAGUUUUGACCUCAGAUCAGAUAAGGAUACCCGCUGAACUUAAGCAUAUCAAUAAGCGGAGGA
rnacentral:misc_RNA from 1 species